CUCCUUGGUUUCUGAAGGACUCCCCUCCAACCUGUCUGUAGGUUUAAAUCUCCAGACGGGUUGAAGAAGUCGCCCAAAAGGAACCACUUCGCAAAUUUUGUUUCCUCCCUUGAAAUCCCGCUGGACGUGGAGCAGAUCUUCACUUGAAGACAGCGAAGGACAAUUUGUGGAAGGCUUAAUGAAGUGAAAGCAAGAGGUCCUGUGGAGGAGGCAAGGGUGGGAGAGAUAUGGGAUCAUAAAAUUUGGCAAAGCAAGUGAUUGAGUGCAGUGUCUUUGUUAGUUUGUCAGCAUCGCAGUUACAAGUAAAAUAUGCUUGUAAAAU
ensembl:lncRNA